UUAAGGUUAAACAAUUACUAUUAAGGAAGUUUAUUUCUCUUGAAUGAGUACUUUUAAUGCUAAUAAUUUACUUACAUAAUGAGUGAAGUAUUAAAAAUAUGUUUUCAGUCUUCAAAUAAAACUACUCUAUGUUUUAUUUGAAAAGAUAAAUCCUACAUAUUUCGUAGUGUUGGAUAUUUAGGUUUGGGUUGCGGGUCGCCUAUGUGGACUAACCCGACCCGAUUAGAAGAGAUAAAGUUGAGAAGUUACAGGAAGUUAUUUUUAAGAAAACUUCCACUAUGUGACGUGACAUAUAGAGGGAGGGAUUAGAUUUCCUUUACUAGUUUUUCUUUUCCCCUUGAACACCUCUUGUCUCUUCGUCAACGGAGAAAAAUAUUUGUUUGGUUAUUAUCUCCCAAGAAACACACAAAGCACAACGGAGACAUCUAGUUCGUGGCAUAUUAACUUUGUUUCCUAGUGAUUCAAAGUUUGACUUGGGGCGAUUCUUUUGGUGGUAAGUUCAACGAUUCUUCCGCUGAGUUCAGCCUGCAUUUCACGAUGCAGGUACGGAUUUACAGGACGACGCAUCUGCUCAGUAGGAUUAUCCACGUAUCAGCUUUUGUUAAGCCCCAUCGGGUUUAGUCAUUAUUUACAUUUAUAUCAGUUAUGCAGUUAAGGUAUGCUGAGGGUCGUGUCCCAGCAAGUAUGUUCUACGGUUCAAGUUCAUGAUAGAGGUUUCAUAGACUAGUCAGUCAUGUUAUGUCAGAUAUUUGGAGUCGUCUAGCCAUUUUGGCUCGUUAUUAGUAUGUUUAUUCAGACUGUUCCGCAUUAUGAGAUUAUGAUAUUUUCAGACUUAUGAUUUA